rnacentral:lncRNA from 1 species
GUAGGAACUUCGGGACCCUUGGGGGCAUCGUGUGAGCGUGGUGCGGGCGAGAAGGGGGGUGAGAAAGGGCCUGUGGGCCCCUUCAUCCUCAUUGGCCGCCCAUUUCUCCUCAUUCCCGCAAACACGCAGCGGCACACCCAAGUGGCAUUUGUACCUCUUUCUUGCUUUUCUUCCCGGAAGCCAUGAGAAUUGCAUAACACUCAGCCUUGUGAGAUCCGGACCAGCGAGAGAGAGGGCAUCACGUAGGGCACUGCCUUCUCCCGACUCUUUAUGUGGCACUGCGGGGGGGAUGUGCGGUGUGGGCUGCACGGAGACCCCAAUAGUUCCUGCUCAGGGCUGGCAGGGUGGGGCUUUGUUGCACACCCCACCCCACCCCACCUCAGCCACAGAGGUCAGGGCUGCUGAGGGAGUAGGCUGACCUCAGAGCUGGCAGCCACGGGGGACCUGAGUGACCUUUCAGGGUGAGCCUGGACACGGCCGAGGGACCAGCAUGGCCACUUGCUGCUGGCCCAGCCCAGUAAGACAGUGGCUCCUCAGGGUACUGCAAGAACCAGGGUCGAGUGCGGAGACCAGGGACACAGUUGGCCUGGAGGGCUUCCACAGGUGUGGCCCUGACCUCGGCCCGGGACAAAGCCCUCGAGACCCCUCAGUUCCAGUCACGGAGACCCCACCCCCUCCACUGGGGCAAAGGCGCCUCCGUCUCCAGCGCUGCUGUCUGCUGCAGGCUCCUGGCUGUGUUCUCUCAAUCCUGCACUUGCAGGUAGAGGCUGAGGGGACAAGGCACCGCAGGGCAGUGUGCUUGCCCACCUCUGGGGUCAGCUGCCCUCAGGGACCCUCCCGGCCAGUCCCAGCCACAUCUUUCCAGGGCUCCAGCCCCUGCACCAGACUCAGUGGCCCUGGGUGGCCCUGCCCUGCGCCUGGCACAGGCCUGUGUCGUGAUGUUCUGUGAUCAGUGCAUGAGUGCUGCAGGAUAAUUGAGGCCUCCACCCAAACAAAGAAGACAUGAAAGGUGACCAAGAUGCUGUUGGGAGACAUCAUCCCAAGAUUUUGGGUACUCCUGUCCUUAGGGUCACACAAUGGACCAACAUUCAUAGCCAAGAAAGUCCAGGAGUUCACACUGAUGUUAAAGAAAUGAGAUCAAGUCCUGCCCAUGGUCCUCCUCUGAGUCCAGUACACCCCCACCAAACAAACUGGGCAUUCCCCUUAUGAGAUUCUAUAUGACCAGCCACCCCCCAAUCAUAGGUCAAAUUAAAGG